UACGAAGGGGGCUAGCGUUGCUCGGAAUUACUGGGCGUAAAGCGCACGUAGGCGGAUUGUUAAGUCAGGGGUGAAAUCCUGGAGCUCAACUCCAGAACUGCCUUUGAUACUGGUGAGCUUGAGUCCGGAAGAGGUGAGUGGAACUGCGAGUGUAGAGGUGAAAUUCGUAGAUAUUCGCAAGAACACCAGUGGCGAAGGCGGCUCACUGGUCCGGUACUGACGCUGAGGUGCGAAAGCGUGGGGAGCAAACAGG
rnacentral:rRNA from 1 species